CUGUGUAAAUUUGCUGUCACCUCUAAAUAACUCAACACACAGCCAUUAUUGCCUAAACCGCUGGCAACAAAAGUGAGUACACCCCUAAGUGAAAAUGUCCAAAUUGUGCCCAAUUAGCCAUUUCCCUCCCUGGUGUCAUGUGACAUGUUAGUUUUACAAGCUCUUAGGUGCAAAUGGGGAACAGAUGUGUUGAAUUUGGUAUUAUUGCUCUCACACUCUCUCAUACUGGUCACUGGAAGUUUAACAUGGCACAUCAUAGCAAAGAAUUCUCUGAGGAUCUGAAAAACAGAAUUGUAACUCUACAUAAAGAAGAAUAUUGACAACACCCUGAAUGUGAGCUACAACAUGGUGGCCAAGGCCAUACAGCACUUUAACAGGACAGGUUCCACUCAGAACAAACCUUAUGGCUGACCAAAGAAGCAGCUACAGCAACCACAGCAGCAUCACAAACAACGACAACAGUCACAAAAAACAACUACUACUGCAGCUCCUGCAACAACCACGACAACCACACUGGCCAUUACAGUGGCACCAACAACCAGGAUAGCAGCACCAACAACCACAUCAACCACCACUGCAGCACCAACAUCGACCGCAGUCCCACUAACAAUCAUCACAACCACACUGACCAAGACAUCAGUGCCAAAUACCACUACUGUCGCAUCAACCACCAGACCUCCAGGGCCAACAACAACUAAGGCCAGACCAACAAAUACAACAGCAGCAUUAACAACUACGGCCCCAACAACAACCACAACAGCAGCAGCAACGACCACAACCGCACCAACAACCACCACCUCUGCACCUACAACAACCACAGCAUCUCCAGUGACAUCCACCGCAGUACCAUUAGCCACCACAGCCCCACCAAUAACCACCAAUGAAGCACCAACAGCCUCGACAGUUUUACCAAAAACCAUGAGAGCAGCAUCAACCACAAACCAACAACCACCACUGCAGUGCCAACAACCACCACAACAGCAAUACCAACAAUGACAGCAGUGACUUCAUCAUUAAAGAAACAGACAAUUGUAGGCACCUGUGAGGUGGAGGCGUUCCCCAGACUGACCUGUUAAAGGGGAUAGUGAGCGCAGAGACAAGAGGAGAGACGCACGAAGGGUGAGCUGGAGAAAAAGAAAUGCGUGUAAGCCCGCACAUGUGUUGGAGGACCUGCUGCCUGACUGUGGGGUGCCACUAGUCGUUCGACGAUCCAGUCCCAACGGCAGUAACAGCAACAGUGGAUGGCGAUGGCCGCAAUUCACAGCAGGGCAGGGGUGCCCCUCUGCCUGCAUCUGGCGGUGCUACGAGGAAGGCCGUGUUCAGGUGUGGAGUGGGGCGGGACUGUGCGGUGACGCGCUGUCAGGAGGAGACAGGUCUGCGACAGGAGCCCCCUCCUUGUUCUUCUGGCCGGCGUGGUUUCCAUUCCGGAAGAGAAAUUCCUCUCCUGUUUCAGAUAAGGAACAUCUGCCCGCGUGUGGCUGAACUCCACCUCUGCUCGAGGCAAGGAAAAUGGCAAGGAAAAAAAUGUUCGUGUCUUGUUGUCAGCUUUCAAUUAAGAAAACAUGUACCAGACACAUUCCUUAAGUUCCACUCACAAGUAUCUUAAAACAAUAUGAAACACUGGUUUUUGCUUCACAUUGUAAAAUACUGGCAAUGUCCCACCUUUAACUGUCAUUACUGCACAACAAGACAACAAAUGCUCUGACCUGAGCUCUUAUCUUUAUAUUACAAUUUUAGGUAUUUUCCUCCUCUAACUGUCAGGGUCCUGGGUCCCCUGACCCAGCAUGUUUAAUUCUUUAUGAUUUUUGUAGUAUUGUUCUUGUGAGUUGUAUCGUUUCUAGUUUCGAUCCCUUGCCCUUCGUUUUUCUCUGUGUCCCCUCUGUUCUGUGUAGUCUGUCUGCAUGUUGAGUUUCCCUCUGUGUCUUUCGGUUCUUAGAGUCCUCUGUCUUAUGGUUUAUGUCUCUGUGUUUCUUAGUUGCUGUCUCCACUGUGCCAAGUUCGUGUCUCUGUGUCAUACUUCCUGUUUUACUUUGAAAGUCCGUGUCUUAUGUGAAUGUGUCCUGCUUUGCUUCCUUGUCUCGUCAGUCCUGAUUUCUC